UAAUAGUAGCAGAUUAAGUACUGUUACUGAGCAUUAAGGAGCCUAAUAGUACCAGGGUAAGUACUGUUACUGAGCAUUAAGGAGCCUAAUAGUAGCAGGGUAAGUACUGUUACUGAGCAUUAAGGAGCCUAAUAUUGCCAGGAUAUGUACUGUUGCAAAAGCGGGAUG